UAGGGAAUCUUCGGCAAUGGACGAAAGUCUGACCGAGCAACGCCGCGUGAGUGAAGAAGGUUUUCGGAUCGUAAAACUCUGUUGGUAGAGAAGAACGUUGGUGAGAGUGGAAAGCUCAUCAAGUGACGGUAACUACCAGAAAGGGGCGCUAACUACGUGCCAC
rnacentral:rRNA from 1 species